GAUUGCCUUAGUAACGGCGAGUGAACAGGCAAAAGCUCAGAUUUGAAAGCCUUUCGGGGCAUUGUAUUCUGAAGCCUUAAUCCUGGGAAACCGGUGCCUAAGUCUCCUGGAAAGGAGCGCCAAGGAGGGUGAAAGCCCCGUACGGCACUGACCCCAUUGUAGGAUUUUGGCAUGGAGUCGAGUUGUUUGGGAAUGCAGCUCAAAUGGGUGGUAUGCUCCAUCUAAAGCUAAAUAUCUGCGAGAGACCGAUAGCGAACAAGUACUGUGAAGGAAAGAUGAAAAGAACUUUGAAAAGAGAGUGAAAAAGUACGUGAAAUUGUUGAAAUGGAAGGGUAGGCCGCUAACCACGUAGAGACGUGUUUGGGGGGAGGAUAAAAGCUGCAGAAUGUAUCUCUUCGGAGUGUUAUAGCUGCGGUGCAUACUCCCAUCCGGGCGCGAGGACCUAAGUCUCUGCUAAAUGGUGGUCUACCACCCGUCUU
rnacentral:rRNA from 1 species